UGGUUCCCCUCUUUGCCGUCUGCCCCCACAUGGCAAAGGGGGAUGGCAUACGGCAAAGAGGGGAGAGAGAGGGGCUUGGUUCCCCCCUUUGCCGUCUGCCCCCUCAUGGGAAAGGGGGGAUGGAAGACGGCAAAGAGGGGAGAGAGAGGGGCUUGGUUCCCCCCUUUGCCGUCUGCCCCCUCAUGGCAAAGGGGGGAUGGCAGACGGCAAAGAGGGGAGAGAGAGGGGCUUAGUUCCCCCCUUUGCCGUCAGCCCCCUCAUGGGAAAGGGGGGAGGUGAUACGUCCAUUUUGCAUCAUGCUUUGAUGUUGAUAUUUAUCGCUUUAUGGACUGUUAUUAUACUUUUUGGUACCAUUCUUAUGCCUUUACUCUCUUAUUUUGAAAGGUUUAUUUGAAGAGGG
rnacentral:lncRNA from 1 species